AACGAGCGCAACCCUUGUCCUUAGUUACCAGCACGGUUAUGGUGGGCACUCUAAGGAGACUGCCGGUGACAAACCGGAGGGAAGGUGGGGAUGACGUCAAGUCAUCAUGGCCCUUACGGCCUGGGCUACACACGUGCUACAAUGGUCGGUACAAAGGGUUGCCAAGCCGCGAGGUGGAGCUAAUCCCAUAAAACCGAUCGUAGUCCGGAUCGCAGUCUGCAACUCGACUGCGUGAAGUCGGAAUCGCUAGUAAUCGUGAAUCAGAAUGUCACGGUGAAUACGUUCCCGGGCCUU
rnacentral:rRNA from 1 species